AGUUGACUUUUAAAUGAUGAUUUUGAAUGAUGAAUUGAUUUAGUUUGAUUUUGUUUGAUAUCUUACUGUUCAUAUUAUCUUCGGGUUGGAAUGGUCAAUUUUUUUUAAUGACUUUUAAAUGAUGAUUUUGAAUAAUAAAUUGAUUUGGUUUGAUUUUAUUUGAUAUCUUACUGUUCAUAUUAUCUUCGGGUUGGAAUGGUCAAUUUUUUUUAAUGACUUUUAAAUGAUGAUUUUGAAUAAUAAAUUGAUUUGGUUUGAUUUUAUUUGAUAUCUUACUGUUCAUAUUAUCUUCCGGUUGGAAUGGUCAUUUUUUUUAAUACUACGACUGUGUUUCACUUGGGGGCAUAAUUUGAUUAACCCUGCUUUGAAACCUCGCAACGAUCAGGACCCCAUGCUUUUUACGAACCACUCGCUACGCUCGUUUCAAUUUUGGAAUCUUUCGCUUGCUCGGAUAUCAAUAUUAGCACGAGCGGUUAAACAACAACUUUGUCCCUAUGUAAAACAAAGUUCUAAUAGAAUCGCACCAAACCAUUUGCAAUAGCAAUGUCAUCAUUUAUGUUCUAUGAAAAUAUGACGUCUAUAAUGACACUACCUCACUUUGUUCUGUUCAAGGUUCAAAGUUAGUUUACACGUACUUUUUGAUACUGGCCCUUAAUGCCAAAAAACUUAAAUGGCCUAAUUGUCAGUCGUCAUGCACUCCCUUGUUGCUUAUCAAUCGUCCCCUCGGUUAGUGAGGUGGCACCCCUGUGCACACAGUGUGACAACCCUGACUUGUUAGCUGGUAUUAUGUGGAAAUGGACUUUUUUUUAAAGAUUCACUAAAUAGUGUAAUUGGCUACUUACUUGACAGUUUUGUAAAUAAUGUCAAACGAUCUUGAUUUUCCUGAGGAUCAAAUGUCUAUAUGGGACUCAUGGCAUUUAGGCAACACAAAGAUCAGAAAUGAGAGUUAAAGCGCACUCGACGAUUGAAACGCCUCUAACAAAAUGAUAUUGUAAUGUGACGUCACAUUACGUAAGUCUGUCCUAAAUUACUAUUUAUUUUUCAAUAAAAUAUUAUACUAUUUAUUUUUCAAUAAAAUAUAAAGAAUCGAAUGGUACCAUUUUAUUUUUUAUUUUAGUAAGUUAACAAAAAUAUUUUUUUUUGCGACUUUGUAGCCUUGUAUUUUUUAUAAUCUCAAUGUCUUUUUAAAUUUUACUUUUUUUAUAUUGGAUGGCUCAUUUUCUAUCCAUCUAGCUAAACUUUGUUAUAAUAAUCAACAUGUGUCAAGUACCAAAUAGUCAAUAGUCAUGUUGCUUAUCAAUCGUCCCCUCGAUGAGCAAAAAUAAAUUUUACAGUACAUAUGGUGCUACUUUAUAGCACUAGUGCGAAAACUAGCAUAUUACGUUACUGUGUCGAACAUUUUAAGGGCCAUAUGUACUGUAAAACGUUGUACGAUACAUGUGCGAAUAGGUGAUUCGCAACUCGUGUCGAUUUAAAACACUCCCUUCGGUCGUGUUUUAAUUUAUCGCCACUCGUUUCGAAUUUCCUAUUUUUCGCACUUGUAUCGUAAUGUACUAUUAAGUCAAUUUUAGUUCCGAUUGGACUCAAGAGCUUGUUACACUACACCUUACUGAAUUUAGUAAGUAUUACACGAUAAGAGAUAUAUUAUAUCGUUUCUCACGUAUAGUGACGUCCCUCUCGUCAGAUAAUAAAUUGAGGAGGUUGCUAGAAGCUUUCAAUUUAGAAGUUCAAUGAAAAUUAAAUGAAAUUAAAUUAAUUUAUUUUAUUAUAGUUUAUGUCGUUCUUGUAUCGUUCAUAAUUAAUGUAUUGCUUGUUAGAAGUAUAUUUUGUUUGUAAAUUGUAAAUAGUACUUAUAGGUAGUAAAUUUUGUAAAUAGUACAGAUCUUAGUAUUAGUUAUUAAUAAUCACGGAAGAGCGGUGCCUCCCAACACAGGCAAUAUUGCUUACCGGGAGACACCAUCCCCUAAAUUAUAUCAACUGUAUUUCAUGAAAUAAAGAAUUUUGUAUU